rnacentral:misc_RNA from 1 species
GUGAGGCCUUCUGACUGGCGCCGAUACUCUGGCAACAGAGCGCCGGAUGCCGGGAAGUUGGUCAAACUUGAUCAUUUAGAGGAAGUAAAAGUCGUAACAAGGUUUCCGUAGGUGAACCUGCGGAAGGAUCAUUACCGAUAUCAAUGUCCAAUAUGGAACCAACCUCUGUGAACUGUACACAAUCUUUAGGGGUCGGUCGCGCUACCGUUAAAUGGUCGUCAGUCCGUGCAUUCGGCUUUCGGCCAGCCCCGCCACUGUAUUUUUGACGCACUUUAAAACGUAUUGCUCUGAAACGUGUGAUCUGCCCGUUUGCCGGGCGAGUGAUCAAAGAAAAAAAAGUCAGGAGACAACUUUUAACGGUGGAUCUCUAGGCUCACGUAUCGAUGAAGAACGCAGCCAGCUGCGAUAAGUAGUGUGAAUUGCAGAAUUCAGUGAAUCAUUGAAUCUUUGAACGCAAAUGGCGCUCUUGGGUUCUCCCAGGAGCAUGUCUGUCUGAGUGUCGGAUAUCAUCUAACGCACCGGAGCGUGCGGAAUUGAGGCGUCACGGCGUAUUAUCGCCGUGUCCCUUGAAGGAGAGCGUGUUAGACUCGCAUCGUGCGGUAUAAAAAAACCUGCACUCCAUGCGAAGGCUAAAGAGAUUUUGUCCUUCGUCUGGGUGUCGGUCCGCCAGCGCGAGUCGGCCGAAGAAAAACAGAAGGUGACAAAUUACUA